UACGUAGGGUGCAAGCGUUAAUCGGAAUUACUGGGCGUAAAGCGUGCGCAGGCGGUGGCUCAAGCCAGGCGUGAAAUCCCCGGGGCUCAACCCUGGGAACUGCAUUUGUGACUGCAUCGCUAGAGUACGGCAGAGGGGGAUGGAAUUCCGCGUGUAGCAGUGAAAUGCGUAGAUAUGCGGAGGAACACCGAUGGCGAAGGCAAUCCCCUGGGCCUGUACUGACGCUCAUGCACGAAAGCGUGGGGAGCAAACAGG
rnacentral:rRNA from 1 species